rfam:Thermacetogenium phaeum DSM 12270, complete genome.
AUGCCCUUUAAAUCUAGUCCUGUGAGGCUAGCAAGGGGGUUGCGGGAAGAGGGAGACACCUCUUUGUUAGCCUGGUGCGGCGAACAGAGAGGUUUUUUUAU